CUAAGAAUUUUUGUUAUUCAAAGUUCUUGUAUUUGGUCCCUUGGAAAUGAUAGAGAAAUUCAUUACUUUCUCCAUGGCCACAUGAUCAUAAUCAAGAUCAUAAUGCAACUGUUGGGGUCAUGGCUUCAGUUUUAGCUUUUGGAGCUCUUUGGAUUAAAAAAUUAAAAACUAGGAAGGAAAUCGCUUCUCAUCCUCGUGUGCAUUGAGACUAUGAAAGAGAAAAUUAUAUUAAUAAUAUUUUAUAUAUAGGUGACUAGCAUUAUAUUGAUGUGAUAAAUAUGAGACCAAUUGUCUUUUUUAAUUUGUGUGACAUUCUUAGUAGGAAUAAUUUGUUAUAAUCAACUAAAUCAAUGAA